CGCUGGUCUGAGCGCAGUGGUAUUUACAACUAAUUGAUCACAGCCAGUUACAGAUUUCUUUGUUCCUUCUCCACUCCCGCUGCUUCCCUUGACUAGCCUAAA
ensembl:misc_RNA Y_RNA Y RNA